GCUCAGGACGAACGCUGGCGGCGCGCUUAACACAUGCAAGUCGUGCGAUACCUUGAGCGAGUCUUACGACAAGUUCAAGAUAGAGCGGCGGACGGGUGAGUAACACGUGAGUAGCUGUCCUAAGGAGGGGGAUAACGCCUGGAAACGGGUGCUAAAACCCCAUAUGCCUCGCAAGAGGUGAAAGUGUAGCUUGCUACAGCCUUAGGGUGUGCUCGCGGCCUAUCAGCUAGUUGGUGAGGUAACGGCUCACCAAGGCUAAGACGGGUAGCCGGCCUGAGAGGGUGUACGGCCACACUGGAAUUGAGAUACGGUCCAGACUCCUACGGGAGGCAGCAGUGGGGAAUCUUGGGCAAUGGGCGAAAGCCUGACCCAGCGACGCCGCGUUGGGGAUGAAACCCUUUGGGGUGUAAACCCAUGUUGUAGGGGACGAAGAAAGUGACGGUACCCUACGAGGAAGCCCCGGCUAACUACGUGCCAGCAGCCGCGGUAAGACGUAGGGGGCGAGCGUUGUCCGGAAUUACUGGGCGUAAAGGGCACGCAGGCGGUGCGCCAAGUCGAGGGUGUAAAGUUACGGCUCAACCGUGACAUUGCAAUCGAUACUGGCGCGCUGGAGUGCGGGAGAGGGAAGUGGAAUUCCCGGUGUAGCGGUGAAAUGCGUAGAUAUCGGGAGGAACGCCAGUGGCGAAAGCGGCUUCCUGGCCCGCGACUGACGCUCAUGUGCGAAAGCCAGGGGAGCGAAC
rnacentral:rRNA from 1 species